rnacentral:rRNA from 1 species
CUACGGGCUGCUGCAGUUUCGAAUAAUUCACAAUGGGCGCAAGCCUGAUGAUGCGACGUUACGUGAAGGAAGAAAGCUUUAAGUUGUAAACUUCUGUCGUUAAGGAACAAAAAAUUAAGUAGUACUUUUUAUAUUGAGUUAACUUAAAAAGGAAGCAGUGGCUAAUUUCGUGCCAGCAGCCGCGGUAAUACGGGAACUGCAAGCGUUGCUCGGUUUUAUUGGGCGUAAAGAGUACGUAGGCUGUUAUAUAUGUUAGUUGUUAAAUUUUAAAGUUAAUCUUUAAAUUUGCUGUUAAAACUAUAUAACUAGAAUUUCAAAGAGGUAAGUGGAAUUUCAAGUGUAGCGGUGAAAUGCGUAGAUAUUUGAAGGAACACCAAUGGCGAAAGCAACUUACUGGGUGAUAAUUGACGCUAAAGUACGAAAGUAUAGGGAGCAAAAGGGAUUAGAUACCCCCGUAGUC